UACGAAGGGGGCUUGCGUUGCUCGGAAUCACUGGGCGUAAAGCGCACGUAGGCGGAUUGCUAAGUCAGGGGUGAAAUCCUGGAGCUCAACUCCAGAACUGCCUUUGAUACUGGCGACCUUGAGUCCGGGAGAGGUGAGUGGAACUGCGAGUGUAGAGGUGAAAUUCGUAGAUAUUCGCAAGAACACCAGUGGCGAAGGCGGCUCACUGGCCCGGUACUGACGCUGAGGUGCGAAAGCGUGGGGAGCAAACAGG
rnacentral:rRNA from 1 species